GGACCCCCUGUCGUAUUGCUGGCCUCAAGCAGCUCGCUGGCAGAGACUUUCUGGUGAAGUCAGACAGCAAGUCUUUGCCAGGGAGCUGCUUGUGGUCAGUGAUGCAAUGGUGGCAGCCC
rnacentral:precursor_RNA from 11 species